AGGGUUUCAAGGUUCAAAGUUAAUUUGUCAAUGUGGUACCGGAAAUCUCGGCUAAGAAAGGACAAGACAAAGUCAACGGGAGUUAGCUCAAAAAUUACAGUUAAGUUAAGGCUAGACUGUUGAAUUAGCAUCCCAGGCCGAUCCCAAAUUCAAUGAGGUGAAGAUCGUUUGAAGCUUUAAAGUGAAGACCAACUCCAACUUAUCUCAUCAACAAUCACGCUUUGAAAAGAGUAUGAAUCUAAAUUUUUGGGCGUUAGUUUUGGCAUGUACAUAGGAAUAUGUACAAUGGAAGAUUUGGUACUUUUAGUCCACUUUGUAAAAAUUGUAAUUUAGAUUGGUAUGUUCUGGAAUUGGGAUGAAUUAGGCGAUAUUCAAGGUUGAAAUUGGCAUAUUUGAAUUAGUUAAAGUUGAAUUUAUACGAUGCUUUGAUGGGAAA